UUUCACUGUUACUUUCCGUUAGCAAAAAUAUUUUUUUACCGUCGAUUUAGCAAAAAGCUAAAUUUACUUGAUUUUAGUAGUUUCAAAGUUUAUCUUGCUUGAUUUUAGUAAAACGAAGAUUGUUUAGCCGCUUUGUGUACAGACAGCAGCCGCCGCGUGUUGGGAGGAAAAAAACAAACUGACACGAUUGAGCGCGGUUCCGAAAGUUCGAUUCUGGUGGUUCUAAAGGUGGCUAAGUCAACUACGAUAUACUAGCCUAAUCGACGCUGGAAGCGUACAGGUUACAACUUCAAAAAGAAAUCCUCAACAGUCUGGAAAUGGAAAGGGCCGAGAUUGAAAAUUCAACGAGCUCCAUCCGACGCACAACUUGGUGCAUUCGUUGGUAAGAAUGGCAUUGCAUUUCGCUCGCCGGAAAGUGCGUCCCCAGGAUCGGAACUUCUGUUUUACAAAGUGUUAAAAUUUUUUGGAAAAGUGUGAACAAUAAAUUAAAAGUGAAUGAAA